UACGUAGGGGCCUAGCGUUGUCCGGAUUUAUUGGGCGUAAAGAGCUCGUAGGCGGUUCGGCAAGUCGGAUGUGAAAUCUCCACGCUUAACGUGGAGGGGCCAUUCGAAACUGCCGUGACUCGAGUCCGGUAGGGGAGAUCGGAAUUCCUGGUGUAGCGGUGAAAUGCGCAGAUAUCAGGAGGAACACCGGUGGCGAAGGCGGAUCUCUGGGCCGAUACUGACGCUGAGGAGCGAAAGCGUGGGGAGCGAACAGG
rnacentral:rRNA from 1 species